GUGGAUUCUGAGUGAUGGCUCUGGGUCCACCUCCCACCCGUGUUUAUUGUACCUUGUUGCUUCGGUGCGCCCGCCUCACGGCCGCCGGGGGGCUUCUGCCCCCGGGUCCGCGCGCACCGGAGACACCAUUGAACUCUGUCUGAAGAUUGCAGUCUGAGCAUAAACUAAAUAAGUUAAAACUUUCAACAACGGAUCUCUUGGUUCCGGCAUCGAUGAAGAACGCAGCGAAAUGCGAUAACUAAUGUGAAUUGCAGAAUUCAGUGAAUCAUCGAGUCUUUGAACGCACAUUGCGCCCCCUGGUAUUCCGGGGGGCAUGCCUGUCCGAGCGUCAUUGCUGCCCUCAAGCACGGCUUGUGUGUUGGGCUCCGUCCCCCCGGGGACGGGUCCGAAAGGCAGCGGCGGCACCGAGUCCGGUCCUCGAGCGUAUGGGGCUUUGUCACCCGCUCUGUAGGCCCGGCCGGCGCCAGCCGACAACCAAUCAUCCUUUUUUCAGGUUGACCUCGGAUCAGGUAGGGAUACCCGCUGAACUUAAGCAUAUCAUAGGGCGGAAGGGAA
rnacentral:rRNA from 1 species